rnacentral:rRNA from 1 species
UACGUAGGGUGCAAGCGUUGUCCGGAAUUAUUGGGCGUAAAGAGCUCGUAGGCGGCCUGUCGCGUCUGCUGUGAAAACUCAGGGCUUAACCCUGAGCUUGCAGUGGGUACGGGCAGACUAGAGUGCGGUAGGGGUGACUGGAAUUCCUGGUGUAGCGGUGGAAUGCGCAGAUAUCAGGAGGAACACCGAUGGCGAAGGCAGGUCACUGGGCCGCAACUGACGCUGAGGAGCGAAAGCAUGGGGAGCGAACAGG